UACGGAAGGUGCAAGCGUUAAUCGGAAUUACUGGGCGUAAAGCGCACGUCGGCUGUCUUGUAAGUCGGACGUGAAAGCCCUCGGCUCAACCGGGGAAUUGCGUUCGAUACUGCGAGACUUGAGUCCUGGAGAGGGUGGCGGAAUUCCCGGUGUAGGAGUGAAAUCCGUAGAUAUCGGGAGGAACACCAGUGGCGAAGGCGGCCACCUGGACAGGUACUGACGCUGAGGUGCGAAAGCGUGGGGAUCAAACAGG
rnacentral:rRNA from 1 species